AGUGGACGCAUCACUGGUGUUCGGGUUGUCAUGCCAAUGGCACUGCCCGGUAGCUAAAUGCGGAAGAGAUAAGUGCUGAAAGCAUCUAAGCACGAAACUUGCCCCGAGAUGAGUUCUCCCUGAGACUAUAAGUCUCCUGAAGGAACGUUGAAGACGACGACGUUGAUAGGCCGGGUGUGUAAGCGCAGCGAUGCGUUGAGCUAACCGGUACUAAUGAACCGUGAGGCUUAACCUU
rnacentral:rRNA from 3 species